GGAACGACUUUAGGGAAAAUGUCAAACAUGUUCCUAAUAGAGAAGCAGGCAAAUUCUAUGAACAAUUGCAUGCUGCUAGUCAUUCUUUGUUUGACGGGUGUUCGCACUCUCGUUUAUCUGUUUCUAUUAGAUUAUGAAGUAUUAAAUAUGACUGGAAUAUUGUUGAAGGAGGAAUGGACUCAAUGAUAGACCUUAUUAAAGAGUCAGUUGACCCCGG
rnacentral:lncRNA from 1 species